AUUGAACGCUGGCGGCAGGCCUAACACAUGCAAGUCGAGCGAGCGGCGGACGGGUGAGUAAUGUAUGGGGACUGCCCGAUAGAGGGGGAUAACUCCUGGAAACGGUAGCUAAUACCGCAUACUAUCGGAUAACCCAUAUGGGAUUAGCUAGUAGGUGAGGUAAUGGCUCACACCGGCGACGAUCCCUAGCUGGUUUGAGAGGACGACCAGCCAAACGGGGACUGGGACACGGCCCAGACUCCUAGGGAGGCAGCAGUGGGGAAUUUGGGAAAAUGGGGGAAACCUUGAUCCAGCAAGCCCGGGUGUAUGAUGAGGGCCUUCGGGUUGUAAAGUACUUUUGGCAGAGAAGCGUUAUCGGCAGAAUAAGCACCGGCUAACUACGUGCCAGCGGCCGCGGUAUAC
rnacentral:rRNA from 1 species